UGUAAGCGUAUACCAAAGUUGUUGCAGUUAAAUCGCUCGUAGUCGGAAUUUGGCAGUUCCGGAUGUGUGCACGUCGUGUGCGCACUUCGCGGGGAUUGCUUUUGUGGUCUUGCGUAGGAUGAGGCAUUUUUAUUAGUGAACGUCCUCACGCAACCACUUUUUACUGUGAGAAAAUCAGAGUGCUCAAAGCAGGCAUUUGCCGUGAAUGUAUUAGCAUGGAAUAAUAGAAUAGGACUUGGUUCUAUUUUGUUGGUUUGUUGGGACUGAGUAAUGAUUAAGAGGGACAGUUGGGGGCAUUUGUAUUUCGGUGCUAGAGGUGAAAUUCUUAGAUUACCGAAAGACAAACUGCUGCGAAAGCGUCUGCCAAGGAUGUUUUCAUUGA
rnacentral:rRNA from 1 species